rnacentral:rRNA from 1 species
CAGCCGCCGCGGGAAUACGAAGGGUGCAAGCGUUAAUCGGAAUUACUGGGCGUAAAGCGUGCGUAGGCGGUUUGUUAAGUCUGUUGUGAAAUCCCCGGGCUCAACCUGGGAAUGGCAAUGGAUACUGGCAAGCUAGAGUGUGUCAGAGGAUGGUGGAAUUCCCGGUGUAGCGGUGAAAUACGUAGAGAUCGGGAGGAACAUCAGUGGCGAAGGCGGCCAUCUGGGACAACACUGACGCUGAGGCACGAAAGCGUGGGGAGCAAACAGGAUUAGAUACCCCAGUAGUCCCUGUCUCUUAUAC